CAAGCGUUGUUCGGAUUCAUUGGGCGUAAAGGGUGUGUAGGUGGCGCCGUAAGUCGGGUGUGAAAUUUCGGAGCUUAACUCCGAAACUGCAUUCGAUACUGCGGUGCUUGAGGACUGGAGAGGAGACUGGAAUUCAUGGUGUAGCAGUGAAAUGCGUAGAGAUCAUGAGGAAGACCAGUGGCGAAGGCGGGUCUCUGGACAGUUCCUGACACUGAGACACGAAGGCCAGGGGAGCAAACGGG
rnacentral:rRNA from 1 species